rnacentral:rRNA from 1 species
GACGAACGCUGGCGGCGUGCUUAACACAUGCAAGUCGAACGGACAGGCCCUGCUUUUGUGGGUUGCUCGUGUGCCGCACGGGUGUGUAACACGUGAGUAACCUGCACCUGUCAUUCUGGUAUCUCUUGGAGAAAGGGGCUCUUACCGCAUAUGAGCUCUUGCAGCAUGGUGGGGGUUGGAAAGUUUCGGCGGUUCGGGCUGGACUCGAGGCUUAUGCGCUUGUUGGUGGGGUAGUGGCUGACCAAGGCUUCGACGGGUAGCCGGCCUGAGAGGGUGACCGGGCACAAUGGGACUAAGAUACGGCCCAGACGCGUACGUGAGGCAGCAGGGGAGAAUAUGGCACAAUGGGCGGAAGCCUGAGGCAGCGACGCCGCGUGCGGGAAGACGGCUUUCGAGGGGUAAACCACUUUCGCCGUUGACGUGGAGUGAGUGACGGUAACGAGUAAAGAAGCACCGGCUAACUACGUG